UUCUUCAUUCAUAGCCAGUUUCAAUGUUUGUGUACUGCUACCUGUUUUUUUGACUCAUGGUUCCGGCACUUACCCAAAUUAAAUGCUUCUUCUCUGUGCUAGCCGAAAUGUGGUUGCAACCACUGGAAUAAUGUAGUGUGCGUGUUCAAAAGUCUAAAGCUGCUGCAAGUAAAGACUUUGAACACCUUCAUUUAUUUUGCAUGGAUAGAUUUCAACACUAGCUAGGUUUAGGAAGUCUUUGUUUGCAUUUGUUUAUUAAAACCACUUGUGUGGUUCUUCUGUUUUUGCAAGUAUAAGAAAGCCUUCCCGUAAGGCUCUUUGUAAUCCUAUUCCAUUUUCAGCAGUUGAGUUUGUAAACUCCUUUUAAUAUAUCAAAGUGCAAGUGUUUUGCCGAAGCUGCUUGUUUCCCUCCUUUCUCUAUUUCUUUUGUCCAAAUUUACUGAGAGUGCAAAGUGAGAGGUGUGAUAGAGUUUGUAAACUUAUCACCCUGAGUUUGUAAACUCCUUUUAAUAUAUCAAAGUGCAAGUGUUUUGCCGAAGCUGCUUGUUUCCCUCCUUUCUCUAUUUCUUUUGUCCAAAUUUACUGAGAGUGCAAAGUGAGAGGUGUGAUAGAGUUUGUAAAUUUAUCUCCCACAUAUUUUGGUAUUGAGUUGGUAAACUUCUAAAUACCAAGAGUUAAGACAAAGAAGAAAUGCAUAACGAUCUCCAUUUCUACAACUCAUACAAAAGGAUCUCCUUUUUCUCAUAAAAAUGAAACUAAGAAUGUUUGGAAAUGAGCAUGCAUUUCAGCCCUUCCCUUAGAGAAUGUUGUAUAUACUGUCACCAUACAUAAAUUAAUAAUUUAAAUCACUCUGAGAGGAUCUGGGCAUAGCAAAUUUGACUAGAUAGAGAAGUCUAACCCCUUUGCACCUAAGUUCAAAUUCCUAUCCACGUCGUUUAGAUUAGAUUAGAUUAGAUUAGAGUAUUGCUUGAAUAAUGUAUGUUACACUGUCACUUAGCGGGUUUUCAAUUUUGCCAAUGGAUGUGAUUUUUGAGCCCCAAAAACUAGUCUUCAACAUUUAGUUAUGUAAGUAUUGGGAUAUUACUUAAUUUUACAGAAGUUUCGUUGAUCGGAUUCGGAGCAACGGAUCAUAGUAGUUUUUCCUGAUUAGUGUAAUUUCACUACUAAAUGCACUUACUAUUACAUAAUGAAAUUCCAGAAGACCCCAAAAGUCCAAGAAUCACACAAUUAUUUAUGAAAAGAAUCAUAUAAUUAGUUCUUGAUCGCAUGUUAUUCCUGUAAAAUGUCAUUCACAACCCAUUUGGCGAAAUUCGAUCUCUCAUAAUUUCAGUAUAUAUCAAUAAGCAAGCAAAAGCAUCUGAUGCCAACAGCCUUUUAAGUGCAGCUAUGCUUUUUUUUGCCAAUACCGGUUAUUCCAUUCUCUUCCAAACACCUUUUAUCAUAACUUGUUAUUCUAAUUCCAUUUCUACACUUGUGCCCUGCACUUAUAAAGAGGGUAGUUUCAGAAGCAGCCAAUAUUCACAACACAGACAUUAAAUUUUUCGUAUAUUUGCGAAAAGAGAGUUAAUUUAGAGAAGUAUGGCAUCAAUGAAGGUGGAUAGGCAAGUCGGCACUCAGCUGUUUGGGCCGGCCAAGAAAGAACCUGCCGUUGCCAAGGCUGGUGAUGCCAAAGCUCCGGCAUCUAAAGCCACCCCAAAGAAGGCCGCAGCCGCACCAAAGUCUCCGGCACCCAAGAAGAAGGGUAAAGGUGGCAAAUCUGCAGCAAAGAACUGACCAAAUUGCUGAUGAGGCAUGCAGCAAAAGAAACGAUUUCAUUUCGUUUUCUCGUAAUAUUUUGUGUUUUUGGAUUUUGUAAUCAGCAAGGUGUGUAAGGAUGGUAACUUUGAUGUAAUCCACGUAACCCAUCCCAAAGAAAUAAAAACUCGUGUUUAGCUA